rnacentral:lncRNA from 1 species
GCUAGCAGCUUAGAACUUUUAAAGGAGGCAAAGGCAGAGGAGAACAAAGGAAGGAGGAAGUAACUGGUGGAAUGCUGAGAAAGGUAAAAACACCUUCAAAUAAGGAAGAGGAACAGGCUAUGACCUAAUGCUUGCUUGGACCAGUAUAAGCAUGCCAGGGCAAAUAUUUGGGCUACAUUUUGGAAACUAAGAACAUAAACAUUUCAGUGUGCGGCAUCAUCAUGCAAGCUCUGUAAGAGGAGAGUAAGAUCAGUACUCCUACUUGUAAAUGAAAGAGAAGAAAACAAAAACAAGCAAAUUCCUUCUAAGGUGUGAGGAACACGAGUAAACAGAGAAAUCACCUAAGGAGAAAACAGGAAGCAGAUUUGAAACUGUGGCCACCAACGACACGAGGGAGCGCAAAACCCAGCCCACUUGCCAGGGAGGCUGGCAGAGCCCACACCCAGUCUGGUGCCCUGGUCGGUUACAUUCUGCUGUAAGUUAUUCCUGCCUUUAGCUCAUUCUAUCACAAAGCCCAAGCUCUCAAUGCCCGCAAAAUGAGCCAGCAACAGGAUUAUUCUCAUAGAAAAUGGACCAUUGACGGCUCAGUCGUUAAAGCCAAUUCAGACGAAUCAUGUCUUCUUCCAAGUGCACAACUAUCCCUAAUGUGUAACUAAUACAUAUUUGUGAAAUAACUUAUUACUGAAAAUUAGGUUUUAGUAAUUUGUAGUUAUCAAAAUAAAUUCAGUUUGAACAAAUGGAAUAUCAGACCAUAAAAAUUCAUAGGAUGUAAGAAAGAAAAUAGUAAGAAAGGCAGAUUUCUCAUAAAUAUUAUAAGUUUCAUGAUGGUUCUAUGCUUAUAGUUCUGAAAAUAUGUAAGCAAACAUCUUAAAGAUCAAUGAGAAAAAUGCCCUUUUGGAUAUAUUAGAGAACAAUUCAAGGAGAAAAAAAAUCACCAAUUCAAUGGUGAAUUUGAAUGGUGAAUAUUAUCACCAUUCAAAAAAACAGGGUAUCAUUAAUAUACAACCACAAUCCUAUUAAUAUCUACUAAUUGUGGGAAAACAUGAUUGGAAAUGGAAACAAAAAAUGCAAUAUGAGAUUGGUGGGAAAUUUAUGUUUUACCAUAGGAAAAAAUGUGAACGCAAAUUACGUUGUUCUUUCGGGAUGUACACUUCUCCCGCCUACGACCGAAUAGUGAAUAAGGUUCACAGGGAUUAUGUGAAUCCUGGGCAGGUCCUGAGCUACUCAGCAUUGAACAGCAUUCGAGGCCACUGCAGUGGAGCCACUCUCAUCAGUAACAGGUGUAUUCUCCCCUGGUUUUCAUCCUAAUACCAAGCAAGUGGGAUCUUGUAAGCAUGUGGUUUUUCUGCCCUUUCCUGGCAGUUGUCAGAUUUGUACUUACGUAGCAGCCAGGAGUACAUUAUUGUUUCCAAGGAAAGGAAAUGGCACAUCUCUUUGACAUUGCAAGAUCUGACCCACUGCUUUAAUUAGCAUUUUUACAGAAAAUAAUCUGAAAUGACAGGCAGUCUUUCCUACUUCCUUUCUGCAUUUCAGUUUUGAAGCAGCGUUCAAAAUCAGUUGUGGAUCAAGUCAAGAUGAACUCUGAAACAAUACUUUAAAUACCCCUGGAUGAUUUUGAAGGUAUUUGUAAGUGAGAAUAAUUCAUUCUGCUUUAAAGCAUAAAAUCAACUUCCCCCAAAUGCAACAUGUUAGUUAAAAGAAUCAUACCCUUUUUAAAAAAAACUUUGAUGGCAUCCAGCCAGAAACUACCUGCUCAUAAUUUGCUGAAAUCUACAUAGCUCAUCAUUUCACGUUGUAAACUCCAUUGCACAUAGAACACAUAGCUAAAACAGAGGAGCCUGCUAAAUGCACAUAUUUGCCACUGGGCUGGUCCUGGUCUUUAAAUGUGGCACACCAAUUCCACAGAAGAGAAGGUCAAACUGCUUUGAAUUUGAGAGACUCAAUCCUUUAUUUCCAUCAGACUUCCAGAAAAACAGUGACCUGAAAUGGCAGAGGGGUUCCUCAAUCCUUGUAGACAAAAUAUGAACAACCAGGCUUCUCUCCCUUCCAAUGGAACGUAAAUGGAAAAAAGCAAACCACAGCCGCCUGCAUUUAGGAGAAGCUUUUAUUUAUCUCAUUAUCAAGAUCCUUUUAAUUUGCUAAGAGUUUCUUAUGGCAAACAAAUACCUCUUACCCCCCACUUCCGAGAAUGCGGGAACAGAUGAAAGGAAAGUGUAAUGGUUUUGAUCUCAUUAGGACAUCGGCAUUAGUGGGGCAGCAAUUAUAAAAGUAAUUGACUCUGCUUCACCCGGCGUCGGGAGGGAGUCAUUCUGAAGACCCAUCGUGCUCCGAGGUUGGGCUGUCAUCCUUCAUCUUCUGCUGUGUGCCCGUGUGUUAGGUUUUCAUCCCUCAAAGGCAUUCAGUCUUUCUCUGGGACUCAAAGUGCAGCAUAAGAAAUAUCUUGGAGUGUUGGUUAUUGCUGCCUGGGAUUGACUGUUCAGAUACAGCUCCAUCAGGGAAACCAAAUAUGUUGCUGCCACCCUGACAUUUUUGUGUUUUUCUACCUGAUCAUCUGUAUAGGACAAGGGAAUUUCUUCUCUGUGGUGACCUGUCAUGAAUUAAUGAUCCCAGCAUACCCAGUAAAGUUUUUAAUGUGCAGUAUGGGUUAAUUCAUAAGACAUGGUCUGACUCAGGUUUGUUUAUACAAAAAUGUGCUCUGUCCACACCAACAUGGCACAUGUAUACACGUGUAACAAACCUGCACGUUGUACACAUGUACCCUAGAACUUAAAGUAUAUAUAUAUAAAAAAACAAAACUAGUUAUUGGGCACUAUACUCUCUACCUGGGGUUGCACCCCAACUCUCAGCAUCACACAAUAUACCCAUGUAACAACCUGCACAUGUACCCUCUGAAUAUAAAAUAAAAGUUGAAAUUAUUUAAAAAAA